UACGUAGGGUGCGAGCGUUGUCCGGAAUUAUUGGGCGUAAAGAGCUUGUAGGUGGUUUGUCGCGUCUGCUGUGAAAACCUCAGGCUCAACCUGGGGCUUGCAGUGGGUACGGGCAGACUAGAGUGCGGUAGGGGUGGAAUUCCUGGUGUAGCAGUGAAAUGCGUAGAUAUCAGGAGGAACAUCGAUGGCGAAGGCAGCCCCUUGGACCUGUACUGACGCUCAUGCACGAAAGCGUGGGGAGCAAACAGG
rnacentral:rRNA from 1 species